rnacentral:piRNA from 1 species
UGCUAACUGUAUAAAGGUGUCUCAGCAAAGG